rnacentral:lncRNA from 1 species
GGUUAUAAUAGUUUAGGGUUUCUGGGAAGAAUUUUGAAACUGUAAGUACUUGAAAUUAUACAAUAUAAGUUCCACUCAAGAUUUUGGUGUUAGUAGUUGCUCAGAGCUAACUCCACAUCUGGAUCCUGAUAGAUUAACCAAAGAGGGGCAAAUUAAAUGUUAUGAAUUUGAAGAAAGAAAUAAAAUUAUGAUUUUUAUAAAAUGAUUACUAGAACGACAGUAAUGAUGACUAGCCAGCCAUAAACUCAUGGUUUUUGCUUCUUAGAUAUUCAUUUAGAUAACCCAGAAAUACAGAUACCUCAAUUUUACUGUUUCAAAUUAAACCCAAAUAAAAAACAUUGAACAAUUAAAACACACACAAGAUAUAUAUGUCAAUUUUACUGUUUCAUUGCCUGAAAUAUAAUGGUCCCCUUUUGCAUGUUUAAGAUAUAUGCACACAUAAACUAGUUAACCAGUUGUUUCAGUCACUACAUCUCAAAUUGUAUAAACCAAACUUCUUACCAAAAAAAAAAUUGUAUAAACCAAAGUUAAUUAUGUUAGCCCCAUGAUCAAAACAUAUCUUGACCUCAUGCCUUAUCAAAUAUUAAGUAGCCAAGUACAAAAUGAUCAUCAAUAUUAUCAUUACAUCGGUCAUCAUCAUCUUUUUAUUUUGUGUUCUUUUAACUCAACGAUCGUCAUCAAGUAAUAGGUACGUCUAUAAUAGGGAUGAUAUGAUUCGG